GUGCCUUGUCCUCAGACCUCCUGUGCCCCUCUCGUCGAGCAACCCAACCCGUCGAUCAAAGCGAUCCCUGCUCUCAACACACCCACAUCUCACACCAUGUGACCGACCUGGCACCAAAGACGCACUCAAGACACAGGCGUAGGACAUCACGUUGAUAACCAAAGAUUGCCCGCCGGUGAUUGGAUCUACAAUGAGAACUCCCGCGCCUUUAUCCAUCUCGACAUCAACCACUUUGACAAAACUGCUUAUUCACCUUUUCCGAGCACCUAAGCCUUAUCAAUCGUGAUAAUUAGAAAAUAUGACGGGAUCAUGCUGCGCUUUCAAGACCCGGAGGCGGUCUCACCAAGUCGCUCUUCAGGAUGGUUGAGGGGAAGGCUAAAGUACUGACGAUACGCUAGGGUGGUGACACAACCUUAGCUUCAUCUAUAAUCGUCCGGAUCUCGAUUCAAUCGCAAGCUAUCUUCCAACGAGCUCUUCGCUGUUUCUAUCUUGUUUCCGACUAUUGGUACCUUCAGGGCAAUGAAUCGAUAUCGUACUUUGGCCGGGCAGCGUCACCACUUGUCCAAUCACAAUCUUUCCUGGGAGUAUUGAGCUUACGUUUACCUACCUGCUUUCCUCUCCAUUGUUCAACCUUUAAGUCCGGCAAGCACCUGACAUGUUUUGCGCUCGGUUCCCGUUGGGGCAGUCCACCUCCAUGUACCUCACAAGAUUCCCGUUCCGCCCGCGUCCGGUUUCCUGCCUGGAGCUUACUCUUCCAGUCAAGGCGUGCGGGUAGCCGUGAUUGUGGGCGUCCUUAUCUUUCCAUGGGUAUGAAGGCGUGGGUUAUACAGGACACGCCAAUCAGUGCAGAUUGCAGGUCACCUAAAUAGUGUGUGUACUUGGCGGAUUAUCCUUUCCAGAUCCUUUUACAAGACCGUUUCUUGUUCGGCGGCUCAGUUCUCAUCGAAAAUCGAACAAUCCAGAACCGUUCAGCUUUUGGCCAGUUGCAUAUUGCCUCGAGACCAUUUGUCUCCCCUCACUAUCUGUCGUCGGUAGCUCAAUUCAAGGUCAUUUACAUC